AUCCCCACAACAGGCGUAAAGAGGUAGAUAUUUGGACCUCGUUUCACAGACAAAGAAACUAGGCCCAGGAAAGUGGCGUUGCUCUCAAGGUCACGCAGCUACAACGGGAAACGGGCUGAGCCGGGACUCAAACCAAUUACCCAGAUUGAGAAUUCCGGGCUCCGAAAAAAACUGGAAACAGAAAGGGAGGGAAAAAAAACCAUAACCAGGGUCUGCCCAAGUGGAAAGGUGGUCUCGAAUAGAAUAGAACUGUUUUGUGCUAUGGAAGAGCAAGGGUGAGAUGAGGGGAAAUGGGAGUGACUGCUAAUAGGUAUGGGAUUUCGUUUUGGGAUAAUAAAAAUGUUCUAAAAAAUGUAUUAUAGUGAUGAAUACACAACUCUAAAUAUGCUAAAAGACAUUCAACUUUACACGUUAAGUGAGUGAAUCAUAUGGCGUGUGAAUUAUAUCUCAAGUUAUUAAAAAAUAAACAGGAAGGGUGAUAGCAUUCUGGAGAAGGGUGAAACUGGAACGUUACAUGUGGCACUUUCCCACAUAGUGUGUCUGCUACUUCUGGCCAACUUGGGACGGGGACAUUUCCAGGCUCCAGCCACCCUCCUCUCCUCAAGUCUUGAAGUGGGGCGGAAAGGGUAAGUGGGAGGUUGGGGAACAGAGGAGGUAAGGGGUGGAGUCACUGGAGUGAAUAAGUCCCAUGACAAGUGAGGUUUCUGCCGCCUGGGAGAGUGUCACGUGUGGGGAAUGACACAACGCCCACGCCUAGAGCGGGCUGAGUCAAGGAUCCCGGUGUGCUCAUCUAACGUCCGCAAAUGGGACGGAAGACACUCUCAAAAGUCCCUUCUCUGUGUCUCAGGUGACUCAGCUCUCCGUCCCGACUCGUUUAAGAAAAGGGGGAGGAAAGGCAGGAUAAACAUAGGUUUAAGGGGAGAAUUGGCCACCCACCGGGAUCAUAACUACCCUUAGCUUGGGGUUUACAAGUUUAAGUACUUCCCACCAAGUAUGAAGUAGUCCCCUAAAGUUUCCUACGCAUGACCCACCUGGAGACCCAUAAAAACAAUAUGAAGGUUGGGCAAGAGUAAACCUAUAAAUUUGGAAGGACAAAGAUGAAAAUACUAAGUCUUAUGAAGUGCCAGAUGGGACUGAAUUUGCGGCCUGUGUUUUUUCCCGUUCUCACCCUCACCCCACAUUCACCCUUAUGUCAUUUAGAUAUUUGGGUAGUAGGAAUGCCGACCAGCUGGUUGGCUGUGAGCCGCAAAUGCCCUUUCUCUUCUUAACCUUUCAUAUUUGAAAACUAGAAAAAGUCUUGAUCUGAAUCUCUCCUCUUUUAUUUUCUCUUCCUGAGGGCUGUCACUCACCUGGUCUACCUAUAUGCAUGCCUCUCUUUUCCUGGGGGAUCAGAAGAGCCAAAAAACAUAGGGCAAGGCUUUACUUUUUCUUUCCACAAUAUUAUCAUACACAUCAAAAAAUUUAAAGAAAAAAGUAUCAGCCGGGCGUGGUGACUCAUGCCUGUAACCCAGCACUUUGGGAGGCCGAGGCGGGUGGAUCACAAGGUCAGGAGUUCAAGACCAGCCUGAACAAUAUGGUGAAACCCCAUUUCUACUAAAAAGUACAAAAAUUAGUCGGGCAUGGUGGUGCACACCUAUAAUCCCAGCUACUCAAGAGGCUGAGGCAGGAGAAUAGCUUGAACCUGGGAGGCGGAGGUUGC
rnacentral:lncRNA from 1 species